rnacentral:lncRNA from 1 species
AAAGAGCGGAAGCGAUGGAAACGAAGAAACCCUAAAAGACGAAUCCUUGGAGAGAGGAGAUGGAGGGGAAUAUCCGAUGGUAAUAAUCGCCUCCCAACUCUUUCUUGCUUUCCUUUCUCGAAACCAUCUACAUCUCUUCGGAUACUAUGAGAAUACUUGCAUGAGCAUGAAUCAGCAUUCGCAUUUCACAGUUGCUAGGAAAACAAAAAACACACCUGGUGCUGCUCCCAAGAUUGGGUGAAGGCUUAACGUGCCAUCGACAACUAAUCAUAAGGAAAAGGUGACAAAUCAUAAUUUUCUAAGAUGAUUAUAUAUGACAUGACUCUAUCGGGCACAAAAAGAUAUGGAGAAGUGUCUGCACUGAGCACAAUUUGAUGAAGUGUCCUACGGAAGAAACAAGUGCAAGACUAUUUCUGUUUCAUGUCUGUUAUAUAUUAGCUUAUAAAUAUUGGACUCUUGUAGUUAUGUGUCAUAUCUUUGUUUCGUUUUUUGUUAUUAAUGUAAGAUAGCACAGUUUAAUCAAAAAUGUGAGAUAACACUCAAGGCAAAUGCUCUGAUAAGUAUCAUUGUCUGGUCAUCUUAGUCUGGUAGUCGGCGUAUUUUGAUGUCUUCAUAUAUUGAUAGCUCUGCAAUUUUAUAUUGUACAAAAGUGCAUAAAAUUUAGACUUGGGGAACUUGAACAAUUAGUACUCAUGUCAUACCAAGUAUCUAUUGUCUGAGAAACAGUAAUAAUGAAACAAACUUAGGUUCCUAAACUAGUAUCUAUGGUUUAAAAGAUGGAUGGUGGUUCAUUGGCCUCCCUCUCUUACAUAAUUCUAAAUGAUGGAAAAUUCUGAAUGAUGGAUCUAACUUAGGCCCCUAAACUACAAUGUAGUAAGGGUAGGGCCCUCUUGGGAACAUUUGUCUGAUGGCUUAGUCCGAUUUCUUAUUUAUCUUUCAGCAAGAUUAGGAUAGUAGAAUGUACAUGUUCAAGGAGGUGGCUAAUAUCAACACCUCUGACAGAUUUCCCUCACUUUCUAAGUUUUCAUGUAAUAAUGUUUUUGCAACACUUCAAAUUAGAUUAUUGUUCUACAUCUUUUACUGAUUGGCUCGAGAUGAUUG